UCUUAAAUGUUUUUUUUUUUUAGGCCAAUAACCAGGACAGUGCUCCAUUGAGUCCAAAUAGUUAUCUUGCUUUGUCUCAUGAAGAAAGAAGAAGUAUAAUGAUUGCUCAGCUAUUGGCAAGAUUUGAGGGGAAUGAAACGGAGCAAGCAUUCACUGCAAACCCAACCUAGGAAGACUAUCCGGAAAGCGAAGAACCAGAAUUUGGUGUAGAUAGAAUUGGUAAUACAACUUGGUGUCACUGCGAUUGUUGCCGAACUAUGCCAACACAAGUAGAGUCUGUGUGUUGCAGGGACAUCGAGCCUGUUAGAGAAAGUAUACCAGAAGGAAGUAAUUAUAUAAUAUUUGCUCCAAAGUUUAUCUCGCAAAUAGCAACAGAAGCCCAUGUGAGACUCACUAAUAAUUUCAGGUACCUUGAGGAAAGACCACUUGUAGAUGCCGAUAAUAACAGGUAUUUAUAGAAACUUUAAUAUGUCUAAUAAAACAUUAAUAAAAAUAUAGAUUUAACUGACUUUUUUUAUUUAUUUUUUUCCAAUAGAAGAUUGAGGAAAACGGCUUACCGUUUAUUUAUAACUUGGAUAUACGGUUAUUUAGGAAAGGGGAACCGUAGAGUCAUCCCGUCGUGUGCUGUCAAAAAAAUUAGAGAGGUUUUCCCUGAUCCAAAUGCAACUUAUGUUGGAUUUAAAUAUUCACAGGAUUACGAUGCCGCAGAAAUGGCAUUGGAUUAAAUAAAAAUUAAUUUUUUUAUUUUA